GGCCAAGUUUUUAAGGGCGCACGGUGGAUGCCUUGGCACCAGGAACCGAUGAAGGACGUGGGAGGCCACGAUAGUCCCCGGGGAGCCGUCAACCAGGCUUUGAUCCGGGGGUUUCCGAAUGGGGAAACCCGGCAGUCGUCAUGGGCUGUCACCCGCUGCUGAACACAUAGGCAGUGUGGAGGGAACGAGGGGAAGUGAAACAUCUCAGUACCCUCAGGAAGAGAAAACAACCGUGAUUCCGGGAGUAGUGGCGAGCGAAACCGGAUGAGGCCAAACCGUAUGCGUGUGAUACCCGGCAGGGGUUGCGCAUGCGGGGUUGUGGGAUCUCUCUUUCACAGUCUGCCGGCUGUGAGACGAGUCAGAAACCGUAUGGAUAGGCGAAGGACAUGCGAAAGGUCCGGCGUAGAGGGUAAGACCCCCGUAGCUGAAAUUCAUGCGGCUCGUUUGAGAGACACCCAAGUAGCACGGGGCCCGAGAAAUCCCGUGUGAAUCU
rnacentral:ncRNA from 1 species